AUUGAACGCUGGCGGCGUGCCUAACACAUGCAAGUCGAGCGGUAACAGGUGUAGCAAUACAUGCUGACGAGCGGCGAACGGGUGAGUAAUGCUUCGGAAUCUACCUUAUGGUGGGGAAUAACUAGCCGAAAGGUUAGCUAAUACCGCAUACGUCCUACGGGAGAAAGCAGGGGAUCGCAAGACCUUGCGCCAAAAGAUGAGCCGAAGUCGGAUUAGCUAGUUGGUAGGGUAACGGCCUACCAAGGCGACGAUCCGUAGCUGGUCUGAGAGGACGACCAGCCACACUGGGACUGAGACACGGCCCAGACUCCUACGGGAGGCAGCAGUGGGGAAUAUUGGACAAUGGGGGAAACCCUGAUCCAGCGACGCCGCGUGUGUGAAGAAGGCCUGCGGGUUGUAAAGCACUUUUAGUGGGGAUGAAAUGUGCAGGGUUAAUACCUCUGCAUUUUGACCUAACCCACAGAAAAAGCACCGGCUAACUCUGUGCCAGCAGCCGCCGUAA
rnacentral:rRNA from 1 species